rnacentral:rRNA from 1 species
GAUGAACGCUGGCGGCGUGCUUAACACAUGCAAGUCGAGCGAAGCGAUUUUGAUGAAGUUUUCGGAUGGAAUUAAGAUUGACUGAGCGGCGGACGGGUGAGUAACGCGUGGGUAACCUGCCUCAUACAGGGGGAUAACAGUUAGAAAUGACUGCUAAUACCGCAUAAGCGCACAGGACCGCAAUGGUCCCGGUAGUGAAAAAACUCCGGUGGUAUGAGAUGGACCCGCGUCUGAUUAGCUUGUUGGCGGGUAACGCCACCAAGCGACGAUCAGUAGCCGACCUGAGAGGGU